AUCUGCUGCUUGGCACUGGACGGAUGCACACUUCCUGUAAAAAGCGCAGAAAUCGAAAGUACCCCGCUGGUUUGCGCCAUUUUCUAGAUUUCGCCUGCAGGCUCUGUGUCAUCUGGUGCGUGGUUGGAUUAACGUAAGCAGACAUGAAUGUUCCACUGCUGCUCCUUGGUGCUCUGGAAGACCUGGUUGAUGAGUACUUCAAAACAUUUAAGUGGUACCUCUCAAUGAGGGUCUUGGACAGCUGUGAACCCAUUCCUAAAAGUCGUCUGGAGAAGGCGCUCCGGCCUGAAACUGUCAGUAAGAUGAUAGAAUGCUAUGGCGAAGAGCUGGCUGUGGACGUUACUGUCAAAAUCCUGAGGAACAUGAGGAUAAACAGUGCUGCAGAAGAGUUAAAGAAAGCACACACAGCGAGGGAAACAUCUGCACCCUCCACCUCUUCUCCUGCUGUGACACCUGCUACUGCUGCACCUGCAAUAUCAGCUCAGCAAGGGGGAGUGAUCAUAGCCCCGAUGGUCCACGGUGGCUCCACGGUGGGGGCGUGGAAUAUAACCAUCAACAAACCAAAUGAAUGAAAUGAAUGAAUUCAGGGCAGGUCAACUAGAAGUUAGGUUUCAUUCAUUUGUUCUUUACACAGUGAGACCAUAUCUCUUUGUAUCUCUCUGUAUAAACAUCCAGCAGCUCAGGGUUAUGAAUUCAGAGUUUUAUAUAUGUACUGUAUAUAUAUAUGUAUAUAUAUACAUAUAUAUAUAUGUCCUGUGGUGGUAAAUUCAGUGCACAUUGUAGUCAUUAAAAUAUUUGCAGAUAGGAGAUUUACUACUAUCAUGCUUUACAUGUUAUCCAGGCAUGUGGAUACCAAGACACUGUUUACCCAUGAAUUUGUAAUAAAAUAUUUUUUACCUCAUGUAAUGAUGAAGAA
rnacentral:lncRNA from 1 species